CUGAUAUAUCUGAGCCUAAGGAUAAAUAUUCUCCAAACCCUCAGGAGGCACUGACUAAAGUACCAGAUAUGAUACAAAUUUCUGAGAGUGAUUUAGUCACACUAUGCUUCUUAAUUCUGGUUUUCAUUGCUGCAUUUAUCAUUGGUAAAAAUUUGUAAUCCUACUUAGUGCUUUUUUUUUUUUUUUGAAGUCUUGAGGAUGUUCAAGUACAUGUGCUGGUCGCUGGGUGAAAUAACUUAGUUGUAAAAAAUGUAUCGUAUAUUGAUAUCUCCCCAUGCCAUACCCCUAUCCUAUUUACAAGAUAGAAAAAAAAAAAUUUGUCUUA